AAAGCGUAAACUUUUUAACGUAAAACGUAAAAUGUAAACUUUUUAACGUAAGACGUAAAAUGAAAACUUUUAUGUAAAAACUUUUUAACGUAAAGUAAAACUUUUUUAUGUAACCUGUAAAACGUACAACGUACAACGUAAACUUUAAGCGUAAAACGUAAAACAUAAACUUUAUGUAACCUGUAAAACAGGUCGUAAAAAACGCACGUAAAAAACGGGGGCGUAAAAAAACAGCAUGUAAAACGGGUCGUUAAAACGGCGUGUAAAAACGGCGCGUAAAAACGGGACGUAAAAAACGUGGCAAAAAAAAACGGCGCAUAAAAACGGGACAUAAAACAUGGCGCGCUAAAAAACGGUGCGUAAGCCUCGAAAGAGUAGUUCAGAUUACAGAUUCGAGAUGUGUUUGGCUCGGAUUUGAGUUAUGUUCGGGAACCGAGUCUCAUUUUGGGUCGGCUCAAAAGAGUAGUUCAGAUUACAGGUUUUGGCCGACAAGCAGUGACGUUACACUCCGGGGCUGCCGUGGGUCGAGUUUCGGGUCAGUGGGUGCAAGUUUGGUUCAACCCGGUUCGGAAGCAUCAGGUCGACGGCUCAGUCAAACCGGGUUAGAUUCAGAGUUGUUCGGGUCAAGCUUCGGCUCGGUCUCGAUUCUGGUCUGUCAGUUCGGUAGCGAGUUAUUAUUACGUUAGUUAAGAUUUUAUUUAGUUAACGCGCACCGAGCUCGAACCGAUACUUUAGUGACUUGUUACGUUUGGCAUUUUGAUAGAAAUCUUAUAUAUUGUGUUUAUAUUGUUGA